UAAUGUAAUGACUACGACGUUAAUGCAUCAGAUCCCACUAGAACUCUGCAGUUAAGUGUGCUUGGGAUAGAGUAGAAUUGGGAUGGGUGACCUCCCAGGAAGUCUUGGUCUUUCACAUGCC
rfam:Picea glauca, whole genome shotgun sequence.